AUAUAGCCAAGAACCGUCAAGUCAGGAAGAAGUACACUACUCAGUUAGGAGAGAACGAGCUAGUCCUCAAGAUUUCCUUGGGUUUUCGUUAUUUUUCUGACUGAAUUGAUUGAUUAAUUAUUUAGCUUUCAAAUGAUUUUUGAUGAUUAUUUGUUCUUUUGCUGGAAAAAAAAUGUUAUUAGGAGUUGGAUUUAUUAAACGAGGAUGCAAAUGUGUACAAGUUGAUAUGUCCAGUGCUUGUGAAACAAGAUUUAGCGGAGGCUAACGCCAACGUUCGUAAGAGAAUUGAGUACAUCUCUGCUGAAUUGAAGCGACUUGAUGGAUCCCUUCAAGAUUUGGACGAGAAACAACACAGCAAGAGAGAAGCGAUAUUGAAGGUGCAGCAGAGGAUUCAAUCUCAUUGAGCCGGAAAAGCCAAGACUUAGCCCAUCUUCAUAUGUUUUGCCUUGGUGAACACUAUCAUUCUAGUGGCAUGAUAUUCUAUGACCCAUAGUUGUAAAAUCAUGAUUGCAUGUCUUGGUUGGAGCUGUAAUCCAGUGUUCUUGAACCAUAGUUGUAAAAGUUACAGUGUGUGGUUGCCUCUUUAACUAUGAUCCUUAACAGUCAUGGCAAGAUCAGAAGCUGUUCUAAGCAAUGCAUUUUCUGCCUUAUUGGUUUGAA